GAUCACCCUGAGGGGUUUUGGGGGGGUUUCCUGGAGGUUUGGGAUCACCCCUGAGGGGUUUUGGGGGGUUUUCCUGGAGGUUUGGGAUCUCCCCGGGGGGUUUUGGGGUUUUUUCCUGGAGAUUUGGGAUCUCCCCGAGGGGUUUUAGGUUUUUGUCCUGGAGGUUUGGGAUCACCCUGAGGGGUUUUGGGGUUUUUUCCUGGAGGUUUGGGAUCACCCCGAGGGGUUUUGGGGGAGUUUCCUGGAGCUUUGGGAUCACCCUGAGGGGUUUUUGGGAGGGUUUCCUGGAGAUUUGGGACACCCCCAAGGGGGUUUCGGGGGGGUUUUUCCUGGAAGUUUAGGAUCCCCCUGGGGGGGGUGUGGGCAGCCCCAGGACUCCUCAGUCUCCCGGAAAGUGGGGAUUGAACCCCCCUGGACACCCCCGGAUCCCUUUUCGGGGGGAUUUGGGAGCUCCUGGAUCCCUGGCAACGGAGGCUUUGUCCCCGUGGCCACCUGGAUCCCUCUUCGGGAGGAGCAUUUGGGACUCCCCAAACCCCCCAAAUCCCCGGAAAUCGAGAUUUUUUGGGAUCCUCUGGACACCUGAAUCAUGGGGAACGCGAGUUUCGGGGAUCACCCCAGUCCUUGGCAACCGCGGAUAUUACCCCCCCCUCCA